rnacentral:lncRNA from 1 species
UUUGAUUAGAACUAAUAUAACAAGGUUAUAAAUAUUAGGUUUAUGGUCCCCAAAUUAUACAAAAUAUAUCUUUUCUAAUAUCCCAUCAUUAGGAAAGAGAGAGCAGAUAUUCUCUAAAUUUCUUGUGUCCUAAUUUGGAAGAUCAAAUCCCCAAGAUCUAGUAAAACUUCAAGAAAUUCAUGGAUUCAGGUAUGCUUCCGC